CACCCCGGGUCUAUUAAUGUUUGGCAGCUUUUUCUUCUUCUUAUCCUCUUCUUAUUCCCAGCCCAGCUGUUUUGCACACUCCCUAUAACGAUUCCACCCAGAGAAUCAGCAGCACGACAGUAGCAAGAUGCACGCUCUGCGUGUCUCACAGCCCACGGUUAGAAUGCGGGGUGUAGCGUGGAGAGGGAAGCGGGAUCCCGGCGCGGAGCCUCUGGAGGAGAACCUACUGCACGGCUGUCGUAAAAAGAGCAAAGACGGAGAAGCAGAAGAAGGCAAGAGGAAAGAGGGAGAGAUGGGAUUCCGUUCGCAGUCAGGCGCAAUAAAAGAAUAUGACGGCAAUAAAAGUUUAUAGCGUAUAAAUUUCUGAAGGUUAAGAACUAAAUGGCUGUAAAACAAACACGCCGUGAGGAAUAAAGGAGGGAGACGAAAAGCAUCGAAGAUAAAAAGAAGCAGAGGAAAGUUUCUGUUUUCCGCUGCGCUUUGCAGCACAUACCGGUUGGCACAGACGCACAGGACAGUCACUGAGAGGGAUUAGAGGAAUAAAGAGAGCCCUGCAGGACUGGAAGCCGCGGAUGUUCAGGAAAUGGAGCCAAAUAUGAAUGCGUGACAAGAGAGGAAAGAGUGAGCUAUAUAACUGCAGCUGAAGACAAGGAGAAGCAUCCUCCCUUUGCUUCCUCCUUCCCUCAGCUUCGGCUAACAGCAGGCGCCAUUAACUUCCACAUCCAAACACAUGAGUUGAAAGGAAGCUGCACAUUCAGAUCCGAUCCAAAGCAGGACAGUGAGACAUUGCGGCUCCCACUGAAAUAUAAGAACAACACAGAGUGCCACAUUUAUAAGUUGUGGUGGUUCUAGAUGAAAUUUACCAGGGGGCAGAAUGGAGGGGCAUUGCACAAAAGAAUAA